AGCAGCCGCGGUAAUUCCAGCUCCAAUAGCGUAUAUUAAAGUUGCUGCAGUUAAAAAGCUCGUAGUUGAAUUUCGGGACCAUCAUGUCGGUCGUGCCUCGGUACGUACUGGCAUUGUUGGUUUCUCCCUUCUGACGAACCAUGAUGUCAUUUAUUUGGUGUUGCGGGGAAUCUGGACUAUUACUUUGAAAAAAUUAGAGUGUUUAAAGCAAGCUAACGCUUGAAUACAUUAGCAUGGAAUAAUGAAAUAGGACGUUCGAUCCUAUUUUGUUGGUUUCUAGGAUUGACGUAAUGAUUAAUAGGGAUAGUUGGGGGCAUUAGUAUUCAAUUGUCAGAGGUGAAAUUCUUGGAUUUAUUGAAGACUAACUACUGCGAAAGCAUUUGCCAAGGAUGUUUUCAUUAAUCAAGAACGAAAGUUAGGGGAUCGAAGACGAUCAGAUACCGUCGUAGUCUUAACCAUAAACUAUAGCCG
rnacentral:rRNA from 1 species